rnacentral:rRNA from 1 species
AAACUUUCAACAAUGGAUCUCUUGGUUCUCGCAUCGAUGAAGAACGCAGCGAAAUGCGAUAAGUAAUGUGAAUUGCAGAAUUCCGUGAAUCAUCAAAUUUUUGAACGCAGAUUGCACUCUUUGGUAUUCCGAGGAGUACACAUGCUUGAGGGUCAGUU